AUUGAACGCUGGCGGCAGGCCUAACACAUGCAAGUCGAGCGAGCGGCGGACGGGUGAGUAAUGUAUGGGGAACUGCCCGAUAGAGGGGGAUAACUACUGGAAACGGUGGCUAAUACCGCAUACCAUCGGAUGUACCCAUAUGGGAUUAGCUAGUAGGUGGGGUAAAGGCUCACCAGGGCGACGAUCUCUAGCUGGUCUGAGAGGAUGAACAGGCACAUUGGAACUGAGACACGGUCCAGACUCCUACGGGAGGCAGCAGUGGGGAAUAUUGCACAAUGGGCGCAAGCCUGAUGCAGCCAUGCCGCGUGUAUGAAGAAGGCCUUAGGGUUGUAAAGUACUUUCAGCGGGGAGGCGUUACCCGCAGAAGAAGCACCGGCUAACUCCGUGCCAGCAGCCGCGGUAAUAC
rnacentral:rRNA from 1 species